rnacentral:rRNA from 1 species
CCUACGGGUGGCUGCAGUGGGGAAUAUUGGACAAUGGGGGGAACCCUGAUCCAGCCAUGCCGCGUGUGUGAAGAAGGCCCUCGGGUUGUAAAGCACUUUCAGUGAGGAAGAACGCCUGGUGGUUAAUACCCAUCAGGAAAGACAUCACUCACAGAAGAAGCACCGGCUAACUCCGUGCCAGCAGCCGCGGUAAUUCGGCGGGUGCGAGCGUUAAUCGGAAUUACUGGGCGUAAAGCGCGCGUAGGUGGCUUGAUAAGCCGGUUGUGAAAGCCCCGGGCUCAACCUGGGAACGGCAUCCGGAACUGUCAAGCUAGAGUGCAGGAGAGGAAGGUAGAAUUCCCGGUGUAGCGGUGAAAUGCGUAGAGAUCGGGAGGAAUACCAGUGGCGAAGGCGGCCUUCUGGACUGACACUGACACUGAGGUGCGAAAGCGUGGGUAGCAAACAGGAUUAGAUACCCCUGUAGUC